AGACAUGAUUUAUGUUUUUGUCUUUUACGUGUGAGGAUUUCUUUCGAACUUUUUCACUUAAUGUUGAAGUCCCAUUCGAAAAAUGAAUAAAUCCUCUGAGGACGUUUGCAGCAAGGAAAAUUAACGACCAAAACGUUUUGACACACUUCCUAGCUGCACUACACGUGGGGAGAUGGUACUGCGGAGAUUUCAAACGUCAGCUCAUAAAAAAUUGUAAUUUUUUAGGCGAUAAACAUUGCUGCUUCCUGGAAAGUACUUUUCCACGUGCAUACUUAUUCUCGCGUGCCAAAAGUAUCUGUUAUGUUUAGAUGUAAAUUGUGAAACUAUUGCAAGCUGAAAUGUACUAAAAUACGUAGCUCUGUAUAGCGUUUCUAAAUUGGGAAAAUUCAAGCGGGCGACAGAAAUAACAAAAAUAGAAACAGGCCAAUAUGAUAGCUGUAUAAAGCCUGUUCAUUUUCUUUCAAUUGUCAGCCGCUCGAGGUGAUAAAAUGAGUGAAAGAAACCUGUUUAAUCAAGCCAAAUAAUUCAAAAGUUCGAAGACAUGUCGAGUGUAGGUCGCACUUGAUUGUUACGUUGUCGUUUUUACUCAAUUGACUUCGCUUGCAUGUGCUCCACGUUUUAAAACAACGUUAAGCUUUGGAUUGGGGAUGCUCCCAUAUGAAAGAAACAUAAGAUGUUAAUCUCUUGGAUUCUUUAUUGCUCCAUGUUUGUUCCAAAGUACCUACAGAAACACAUCAUGUGAAAAUGCAGUAUCUAAUUGCUUUUGAUUUUCAGACAUGGAGCAACUCAAUCCCAACAUCUUGCAAGAACUUAGGCAAGCUGAGGAAAUGGUUGUCAGAGGAGAACUCUACCCUAACAAUCAGGAAGCCCAGAAACGAGAAUUCCUGGCCCAAGCUAAAGUGGCAAUAAAGUUUGCUUUAGAGGUUCUUGAUGCCAUGGAAAGCAAACUACCACCUGACCCAAAUCCUCAACCUAGGAAAAGGAAAAAGGCCACCUGAAAGAGCAUGGUUAAUAUCAAGAGAAUUGGUCGCCUUGCUGUAAGGGCAUGUUUACUAAGUCUCAUUAUUUAGUUGUUAAGUUGAUUACUUCAGACAUAAAAGGUAUCUAACAAUUUUUUUGGAAACUUUCCAGAGAUAUUCCUUACCAAUGUCUGUUUUUUAAAAAUACAAUUAAAAGAUAGUUCACUGUGCUUGUUUAAGAGAUAUGGUGGGUAAAACAAAUUUUUUAGACUGUAUUUAUGACCAGCUAUAGGCUGUGAUUUUAUUCAUACUGUCUAUGAACUACAGCUUCACCAAAAAGUAAUGUUUUUUUUUUUCAGUCUCAUGAAGUGUAAAUUAGGUCCUAUAGCACUUUUUUGAAGUAUUUGCUGCCAUGACUUUAGAGAAUGUACUUAUGACCAGCUAUAGGCUGUGAUUUUUUGUACUAUCGAUAAACUAUGGUUUAGCUUUGAACUAAUCUUUCCUCAGUGUCAUGAACUGUAAAUUAGUUGCUACAGCCCUUUUUAGUAAUAUUUGCUGCCACGACUUUAGAGAAUGUACUUAUGACCAGCUAUAGGCUGUGAUAUUUCUGUACUAUCAGUAAACUAUGGAUUAGCUUUUAACUAAACUUUUCUCAAUGCCUUGAACUGUAAAUUAGUUGCUAUAGAAUUUUUUAGAAGUACUUGCUGCCAUGACUUUAGAAAAUGUACUUAUGACCAGCUAUAGGAUGUGAUAUUUCUGUACUUUCAAUAAACCAUGGCUUAGCUUGGAACUAA